AGUGAACGCUGGCGGUAGGCCUAACACAUGCAAGUCGAACGGCAGCACAGUAAGAGCUUGCUCUUACGGGUGGCGAGUGGCGGACGGGUGAGGAAUAUAUCGGAAUCUACUUUUUCGUGGGGGAUAACGUAGGGAAACUUACGCUAAUACCGCAUACGACCUACGGGUGAAAGCAGGGGAUCUUCGGACCUUGCGCGAUUGAAUGAGCCGAUGUCGGAUUAGCUAGUUGGCGGGGUAAAGGCCCACCAAGGCGACGAUCCGUAGCUGGUCUGAGAGGAUGAUCAGCCAAACGGGAACUGAAACACGGUCCAGACUCCUACGGGAGGCAGCAGUGGGGAAUAUUGGACAAUGGGCGCAAGCCUGAUCCAGCCAUACCGCGUGGGUGAAGAAGGCCUUCGGGUUGUAAAGCCCUUUUGUUGGGAAAGAAAAGCAGCAGGUUAAUACCCCGCUGUUCUGACGGUACCCAAAGAAUAAGCACCGGCUAACUUCGUG
rnacentral:rRNA from 1 species